rnacentral:rRNA from 1 species
ACGGGUGAGUAACACGUGGGUAACCUGCCCAGAAGCAGGGGAUAACACCUGGAAACAGAUGCUAAUACCGUAUAACAGAGAAAACCGCCUGGUUUUCUUUUAAAAGAUGGCUCUGCUAUCACUUCUGGAUGGACCCGCGGCGCAUUAGCUAGUUGGUGAGGUAACGGCUCACCAAGGCGAUGAUGCGUAGCCGACCUGAGAGGGUAAUCGGCCACAUUGGGACUGAGACACGGCCCAGACUCCUACGGGAGGCAGCAGUAGGGAAUCUUCCACAAUGGACGCAAGUCUGAUGGAGCAACGCCGCGUGAGUGAAGAAGGGUUUCGGCUCGUAAAGCUCUGUUGUUAAAGAAGAACGUGGGUGAGAGUAACUGUUCACCCAGUGACGGUAUUUAACCAGAAAGCCACGGCUAACUACGUGCCAGCAGCCGCGGUAAUACGUAGGUGGCAAGCGUUAUCCGGAUUUAUUGGGCGUAAAGCGAGCGCAGGCGGUCUUUUAAGUCUAAUGUGAAAGCCUUCGGCUCAACCGAAGAAGUGCAUUGGAAACUGGGAGACUUGA